rnacentral:rRNA from 1 species
UUUCUAUNGACCGCCGUAAUGAUUAAUAGGGAUAGUCGGGGGCGUCAGUAUUCAGCUGUCAGAGGUGAAAUUCUUGGAUUUGCUGAAGACUAACUACUGCGAAAGCAUUCGCCAAGGAUGUUUUCAUUAAUCAGGGAACGAAAGUUAGGGGAUCGAAGACGAUCAGAUACCGUCGUAGUCUUAACCAUAAACUAUGCCGACUAGGGAUCGGACGGGCUUCUAUGAUGACCCGUUCGGCACCUUACGAGAAAUCAAAGUUUUUGGGUUCUGGGGGGAGUAUGGUCGCAAGGCUGAAACUUAAAGAAAUUGACGGAAGGGCACCACCAGGAGUUCGCCGAAAAUGCGAUAUUAGCAGACUCUGCUCCUGAAAGCCGCCUGUAAAAGGGUCGGUGGUUGUCCGGGCUCCGAGCCGAACAAGUGCUAGUCACGCAAGUGGCAACAUCGCCCAACUGCGGGGACGUCCUAAAGCUCUACCUACCAACCUGCCGUCNAAAGGCGUCAGGGGCCCGGCUAACGCCCGGGGUAUGGUCAUAACGGUAGAGAUGUACAAUGGAUUAUCCGCAACCAAGCCCCUACAGCAACUCNCCACGGGGAAGGUUCANANACUAAACNGGCGGUGGGCUCACGAAGGAGCUUAAGAUAUAGUCCGUCCGGGGGAUCAGCAUCCCACGGGAUCUAANCGGGGAANCNUGCGGCUUUAAUUUGACUCAACACGGGGGAAACUCACCAGGUCCAANACANAGUUAAGGAUUUGACAAAUUGAGANCUCUUUUC